rnacentral:misc_RNA from 1 species
GUGAGUCAUCGAAUCUUUGAACGCACAUUGCGCCCCUUGGUAUUCCGAGGGGCAUGCCUGUUCGAGCGUCAUUGCAAAACCCUCAAGCUCGGCUUGGUGUUGGGUCUUCGCCCCCUCGUGGGUGGACCUGAAAAUCAGUGGCGGUGUCACCUGUCCUCAAGCGUAGUAGGUGCUCACGCUCUGAAGGUGCAGGCUUUGACCACCAGCCAAGCGACCCCUAUCUUCAAUGAGUUUGACCUCGGAUCAGGCAGGGAUACCCGCUGAACUUAAGCAUAUCAAUAAGCGGAGGA